rnacentral:rRNA from 1 species
UACGUAGGGUGCGAGCGUUGUCCGGAAUUAUUGGGCGUAAAAGAGCUUGUAGGCGGUUUGUCGCGUCUGCUGUGAAAUCUCAAGGCUCAACCUUGAGCUUGCAGUGGGUACGGGCAGACUAGAGUGUGGUAGGGGAGACUGGAAUUCCUGGUGUAGCGGUGAAAUGCGCAGAUAUCAGGAGGAACACCGAUGGCGAAGGCAGGUCUCUGGGCCGAUACUGACGCUGGAGGAGCGAAAGCGUGGGGAGCGAACAGG